GAAAGUUGUUUAUUACUUAUUAAAUUAAAAUAUUUAUUAUCAGACGAAAAAUAAAACCUGUAAACAAUUUCUGCCUGUAUUUACUUGUUCAAGUGCCAGUGAAACAAACGAUAAAAAAGAAGAAGUAUUCAGUAGGCUUGCAAUUUUUUUAUAUAUAUUUUUAAAUGAUCUGAAUAAUUUUGUUGUUUUUAUUUAGUUGAAUGGUGAAAUUGUUUAUGCAAAAAAUUGGCUCUUUAACUUUUAUGUUUUAAGUUGUUUUUUCCUUGUUAACUAUUGUCUGUUGUUAACUACUGUCUGUUGUUAACUAUUGUCUGUUGUUAACAAAACAAGUAAAAAAAUGUAUACAUAAUGACAACAGAUUUAUCUUUAGAACUGUUUGCAAAACUUUUGCUUUGGAUACAAAAGACCAAGUGAAAAUGAUACAGUUACAGUAAAUGAAUAACAACUCUUAAGGUCAUUCCACUCAAAAGAUUGGUGGCAAUACACCAGCAUCAACUAUAAACAAAGCUUUAGAUGAGAGAAUGUUAGCGGGAGGGUAAAAAACAAAAAAUGAUCAUUCAAGACUACUUACUUGUACAAAGCUCAACCUACCGGACCCACGACGUCAAUUCAACAUUGGAAUAACGCUGUACUGACGUUGCAAUUUUAGAUUAACGUUAAUCCAAUGUUGGAUUGACGUCUUGUACCCACUGGGUACUUGUUUGGGCUUUUUUCUUUGUAAGUGCUCUGGCGACGGAAAAGCAACUAAAAAAAAAUUGUUGAUCAAUUAAUAAGAAGACCAUUUAGAGAGAGCUCCCAAUGUUGAAGAAAAUAAAAACAUUUAUAUUUGUAAAUCUCAUUAACAUGGAAUAUGCGUUUUAAAUUA